UUGCUAAGAUGCGUGUGAACAAUACCCAAGU
rnacentral:piRNA from 1 species